rnacentral:rRNA from 1 species
AACGAACGCUGGCGGCAGGCCUAACACAUGCAAGUCGAGCGCGCCCUUCGGGGUGAGCGGCGGACGGGUGAGUAACGCGUGGGAACGUGCCCUUUUCUACGGAAUAGCCUCGGGAAACUGAGAGUAAUACCGUAUACGCCCUUUGGGGGAAAGAUUUAUCGGAAAAGGAUCGGCCCGCGUUGGAUUAGGUAGUUGGUGGGGUAAUGGCCUACCAAGCCGACGAUCCAUAGCUGGUUUGAGAGGAUGAUCAGCCACACUGGGACUGAGACACGGCCCAGACUCCUACGGGAGGCAGCAGUGGGGAAUCUUAGACAAUGGGGGCAACCCUGAUCCAGCCAUGCCGCGUGAGUGAUGAAGGCCUUAGGGUUGUAAAGCUCUUUCAGCUGGGAAGAUAAUGACGGUACCAGCAGAAGAAGCCCCGGCUAACUCCGUG